UGGGGAAUAUUGGACAAUGGGGGCAACCCUGAUCCAGCAAUGCCAUGUGUGUGAAGAAGGCCUUCGGGUUGUAAAGCACUUUAGUGGGGGAGGAAGGCUGACAGGCUAAUAUCCUGUUAGAUUGACAGUACCUCAAGAAUAAGCACCGGCAAACUCUGUGCCAGCAGCCGCGGUAAUACAGAGGGUGCAAGCGUUAAUCGGAAUGACUGGGCGUAAAGGGCGAGUAGGCGGUUGUAUAAGUUAGGUGUGAAAGACCUGGGCUUAACCUGGGAAGAGCACUUAAUACUGUAUAACUAGAGUAUUGUAGAGGUAACGGGAAUUUCCGGUGUAGCGGUGAAAUGCGUAGAUAUCGGAAAGAACACCAAUGGCGAAGGCAAGUUACUGGACAGAUACUGACGCU
rnacentral:rRNA from 1 species